UCUGGUAAUAAUGGCGAGAAUGUCACACCCGUUCCCAUACCGAACACGGAAGUUAAGCUUCUCAGCGCCGAUGGUAGUUGGGACUUUGUCCCUGUGAGAGUAGGACGUUGCCAGGC
rnacentral:rRNA from 1 species